ensembl:lncRNA
CUUCAGUAUAGCUACAGGAGGUGGGGCCCUGCAGAUAGGGUUCCAGAAGGUGGAGCAGAUGGAAAAGAAGACACAGUACACGUUGAAGUUGGAAAAAUGGGCUCCCUUCCCUCCCCACCAACAUUACUCUUCCUCCAGUGAGCCCUCCAUCCUUACAAGCAGAGAAGGACCGUGUGCUGCCCAAGAGCCACCUGAGCACCGCAAGCCAGAGUCGCCCCAGGGAGCGUCUGUCACAGGUUUUUUUAAAGGAUGACCUGGGCUACACUUGAGACUUCUUGAGCGUUUGAGUCCGUCUGGCACUUUUAUCUUUUACUACUUCCCGUCUCAGUUUUAUUCAGCGUGGGGCAAAAACAGUCACAAAACUUCACCACAAAAACAUUAGUCAAGAGGUGAACCCUUUGUUCUUUGCCAAAAGCUUGGAGAAAAAGGAGGUUCAGAAUUUAGAUUCCACCCCCCACCCUUGUCUUUCCUAGAAAGAGCUCUUCUUUGGAAAUAACUCAAGACCACAGAUUCUUCCUAAUCCCACCUGUCUUUGAAUCUUUGUGAUUUUCAGUCUAAAUAAAGUAAAUGUUCUUGACUUUCCGCUGGGUUUCUAAAUGAGGAAGCCAUGUGCAAAGUCCCUCUGCAGGGCUCUUUUGGUGUUUGAAACUUUAGUUCUCUCCCAAAUGAUGAUGGCUCCUCGGUGAAUCUUGACAAUCAUUUCUAAAUUAGC